UCAGAGUGACUUGCAAGGAUGCUCACA
rnacentral:piRNA from 1 species